UGGGGGAUAUUGCACAAUGGGGGAAACCCUGAUGCAGCGACGCCGCGUGGAGGAAGAAGGUUUUCGGAUUGUAAACUCCUGUCGUUAGGGACGAUAAUGACGGUACCUAACAAGAAAGCACCGGCUAACUACGUGCCAGCAGCCGCGGUAAAACGUAGGUCACAAGCGUUGUCCGGAAUUACUGGGUGUAAAGGGAGCGCAGGCGGGAGAACAAGUUGGAAGUGAAAUCCAUGGGCUCAACCCAUGAACUGCUUUCAAAACUGUUUUUCUUGAGUAGUGCAGAGGUAGGCGGAAUUCCCGGUGUAGCGGUGGAAUGCGUAGAUAUCGGGAGGAACACCAGUGGCGAAGGCGGCCUACUGGGCACCAACUGACGCUGAGGCUCGAAAGUGUGGGUAGCAAACAGGAUUAGAUACCCUGGUAGUCCACACCGUAAACGAUGAUUACUAGGUGUUGGAGGAUUGACCCCUUCAGUGCCGCAGUUAACACAAUAAGUAAUCCACCUGGGGAGUACGACCGCAAGGUUGAAACUCAAAGGAAUUGACGGGGGCCCGCACAAGCAGUGGAGUAUGUGGUUUAAUUCGACGCAACGCGAAGAACCUUACCAAGUCUUGACAUCCCUUGACGAACAUAGAAAUAUGUUUUCUCUUCGGAGCAAGGAGACAGGUGGUGCAUGGUUGUCGUCAGCUCGUGUCGUGAGAUGUUGGGUUAAGUCCCGCAACGAGCGCAACCCUUAUGGUCAGUUACUACGCAAGAGGACUCUGGCCAGACUGCCGUUGACAAAACGGAGGAAGGUGGGGAUGACGUCAAAUCAUCAUGCCCUUUAUGACUUGGGCUACACACGUACUACAAUGGCGUUAAACAAAGAGAAGCAAGACCGCGAGGUGGAGCAAAACUCAGAAACAACGUCCCAGUUCGGACUGCAGGCUGCAACUCGCCUGCACGAAGUCGGAAUUGCUAGUAAUCGUGGAUCAGCAUGCCACGGUGAAUACGUUCCC
rnacentral:rRNA from 1 species